rnacentral:sRNA from 1 species
AUCCAGACAGAAUGUCGGGGCUUGUUAUGCAGGCACCAUCUACGAGUGGAGAGAGGCAGCAGGCUUGUCUUUCUCCUUUGCUGACCCCCUUAGCUUAAUCUGACUGGAAAGAUUACUGCUGCCCAAAUGCAAAAGGCUGUGCCUACUGGGAGUGUUAGAGAAUGCCACUUGAAUCCUUUGUGCCCGAGGAGGCUCAUAAGGUUCAGGACACCUACAGAUCUUGAGGACUUUGUUGACAAGUUCUAGGUCCAUGUCUAACUAGUGGGCCAACCAUGGAAUAGUCACAGCUUCUCAACAAGACUUCCACUGAUCAAGUGAGGAAGAUGUGAAGGGAACAAACCAUGGGGAAUAGAAGAAUCUUAAACUAUGGAGAAAAAUAGGAAGGCUUCGACUACAAGUAGUGUGCAAUGAAUGAUGUGGUGUCUUUCAGCUAAAAUCUCAGGGCCUACAUUUAGGUCCCAACCCAAGCCACUGUGAGUUGAGCCCCGCUGAGUCUUUUCAUUUUGAGGAGAAUCACGUUCCUUCUUCAACUCUUCAUUUCUUCUUCUUGAAAAGAACCCAGAACCCUUCUUGAAAAAAGUCAGAGAGAACUCAUGAGUGUUUGGAAAUGAUUUACAGAGGUGAUGCCUCCAAGUUGCCAUAACUAAUGAGGAUCAGGAGACCACUUGCCUCAAUUUUCUCAGGACUCCGGGCUUUCCGGGAUAGUGGACAAAGAAGUUGCCCUACACUAAAAGAAGCCUCUCCACCCAAGAUAUGCUAUCCCACCUCAUCUCCCCAGAAUAUACGAAGAAUAUUUCCAAUGUUUUAUUUCUAAUAUGAGUUUUAGGUUCUCUGUCAUCCCAACCUUUGAUUGACAGCUAUAAUGUGGCAAGAAGACCUGCACCAGACCCUGUACAGAUAUGAUUGCCUAAUCAUGGACUUCUGGUCUACCAAACUGGAAGAUAUAAUCUUCUCAUUGUAAAUAUCCAGCUCCAGGUACUUCAUCACAGCAACUGAAAACAAAUUGACACACACUCCCUGGGAAGACAGAUGAAUUUCAUAAGACACUGGUGUAAGGAUGACCUUUCUAUGUCUCCUAGUCUGUCCAUUACUGUUGUUGGUUUUUGUUUUUGUUUUUUUUUGUUGUUGUUGUUGUUGUUGUUUUUUUGAGAAACUCUUCCUUAUAACCUUUUUCUCUUGUGAAUGACUCAGAACCCUUUCAAAUCAAGCAUUUAUCUCUUUUGGCUUUUCCCAAUUACUCUUUACAAGACAACCCCUGAACUUUCCAUGAAAGUUUGGGAAUCAAGCUGGUAUUUGUUGGGAAGAAGGUAAAAAGUGGCUUGGGAAAUAAGAAUUUCUGAAUAAUAAUGCUCCACUAAAAUAAUAUGUUUUAUAAACACCUUAUAAGCAUGCUUGACAGAUAUUCCCUGAUGACUUCUCUGUCACCUAAGUGGGUGGUGCUGGGUAGAGAUUGGAUGUGGGUUGAAAACAUCUUAUAGGGAUGGACCAAGCCUUAGAAAAGGACUCUCGGACAACCUGUGAGAACUCAAAGUAAGCGAGAGUGGGAAGCAGGCCUUACUUUCUUGCUUGUACAACCACAAGGCCUAGAGGCAGCCUUCUAUGCUGGCACAUGUAUGGCUGCACAUCUGCAUGGGUAUAACGAGUGCAUGUUACCAUUCACUAGUGUGGGUUGCUGUCUUACUCACGGCUACUAUUGCUGUGAUGAAACACUAUGACCAAAGAAAUGUGGGGAGGAAAGGGGUUAUUCAGCUUAAAUUUUUAUGUCACAGUUCAUCAUCAACCUGGAGCAAGAGUUGAUGCAGAAGUCAUGAAUGGGUGCUGCUUGCUGGCUUGCUCAGCCUACAGUUUUAUAGAGCCCAGGACUACUUUUCUGGGGGAUGACACCACCCACAAUGGGCUGGGCCCUCCUCCAUCAAUCACUAAUUAAGGAAAUGCCUUACGGGCUUGUCUACAACCCAAUGUGACAGAGGUACUUUCUUGAUUGAGGUUCCCUCUUCUCAGAUGGCUUUAACUUGUGUCAAGUUGAUAUAAAACUAACCAGCACAGUCAGUAUAAUGAUAUAAUGAUAUAAAAGUAUCCAGCACAGUCAGUAUAAUGAAAAUGAAGGCCAUGGAGUUGGGGCACUGGGCAAAUGAUUGAGUCUGUCUCGGUGUUACAGUUUCCAGCUUAGCCCUUCAUGGAGUUCUUGGGAGGGCUAUCCCAGAGCCUGGCACAUGCAGUUCACACUCCCUAACCCUUUUAUUAUCAUAGCAUGCUCCGACAGGUGCUGAGAUUGGCAUGAAAGCUCAUGUCUCAUGAGGGGUGAGCGCAGGCACCGACGGUGAACCGGCUUCAGUGUUUGGAUCUGUCAUAUUACAUUUGAAAUCUAUACUGAAAUCAAUGUGUAAAGGUCCCCUGAGAGAACUGGAGGGGUGUGCAAGAGGAGUGGAAGCAUAUGGUGGGCUGAAUGCUGGAGUCUGACUCCGGUGAUAGAAACAGGCUGGGGAAGAAAUUCAUCUUUUCAGCUCUGUCAGUCACGAAUAGUUUCCAAAUGUUGACAUUACGCAUGAUACUAAUAUACUAUAAAGGAUCUGUGUAAGACUGGAAAAACACAAACACACCCUGCAAAGCCAAGUUCUACUCAGGUCCCUUAGGGCUAGGAGCAAAUAUUCACAUCCAGCUCUGAAUAGAGCCUGCAGCAGCCCAUACCAAGAAGCCAUAGCAGCCAUCAUCUACAGAUGUGGCCACACCUGGGCUCUUCCAAAGUCAAUUUAGUCUCAUUACCUCAAACAUCUUAUUAGGGAUGUAUCCCACCUUUUUCCACGAUGAAGGACUUUUAUUUGCCUUUUGCCUCCCUUAUGGGAUUACUAGGGUGUGAUUGGUCCAUAUGGAGAAUAAAGGACCAUUUCGUACUCUCCAACCGUGGACGAGUUAUUCUGGCUGAGAGCAACCUUUUAAGUCAGGGGAAGCCACGCUAUCCAGCCAAAGUACAAAACGAACUCGCAGAGAAGCCCCUAAUGCAUUAUGGAACACAGGGCAGAAUCCAGCUGACGGUGAUGCUAAUUUUCUGCUUUUGUCAAUGAAAACCAGACGCCAGGAGGACUGGCUCUGGAGACCGGAGAGUCUUCCCGAGUUGCCACAUGGCAAUAUCAGAGAGCUGGUAUGCCUGGUGGGUGAGGUGGGGGAACCAUGUGCGGGCAAGGGCUGGCUCUCUUAUUUUCCUUGGCACAGUUUAUGGAAAAGUCAGAGAGAAUGAAUUUCAAACGAUGGGUCAAAUCUCAAGAUCUGAAACACAUUUAUUCCAUCCUGGAGGUCUCCUGCUUCCAUGGAAAUAAUUUUGAUAAGUUUGCAGCACUGGGAUUAUAAACGCACAUCGCCAUGUGCCUGGCUACUCUACAAGAGUUCCGGUUACAACACAGAUCCUCACACUUGCAGAGCUUCCAUUGGGUUGUGUUUCAAAGGAGGAGCUGUGUGCUUGCUGGAGCCAUACGAGCCCUUGAACUUCUGAGAAUAAUAAAGUAUCUC